UACGGAGGGUGCAAGCGUUGUCCGGAUUUAUUGGGUUUAAAGGGUGCGUAGGCGGCUAUUUAAGUCAGUGGUGAAAUCCAACAGCUUAACUGUUGAACUGCCAUUGAUACUGGAUGGCUUGAGUACAGACGAGGUAGGCGGAAUUUAUGGUGUAGCGGUGAAAUGCAUAGAUACCAUAAAGAACACCGAUUGCGAAGGCAGCUUACUAGGCUGUAACUGACGCUGAGGCACGAAAGUGUGGGAUCAAACAGG
rnacentral:rRNA from 1 species